rnacentral:rRNA from 1 species
CGAGGAAUUUUGCAAAUCGACGGAAGUCGGAUGCAGCAACGCCGCGUGCGGGAAGAAGGCCCUCGGGUUGUAAACCGCUUUUGUGGGGGAAGCGGUACCCCACGAAUAAGUCACGGCUAACUACGUGCCAGCAGCCGCGGUAAUACGUAGGUGGCGAACGUUGUCCGGAUUCACUGGGCGUAAAGCGCGCGCAGGCGGAUUGGUCAGUCCGAGGUUAAAGCUCCCGGCUCAACUGGGAGAGGCCCUUGGAUACUGCUAGUCUUGAGGUACCUAGGGGAGAGUGGAAUUCCGGGUGUAGUGGUGGAGUGCGUAGAUAUCCGGAGGAACACCAGUGGCGAAGGCGACUCUCUGGGGGUGACCUGACGCUGAGGCGCGAAAGCAUGGGGAGCAAACCGGAUUAGAUACCCGAGUAGU